GGGGGCUCAUCUUACCUCGAAGGUUCUCCAGUCCCUGGCAAAGGCCUAGGAGAUCACCUGGGAGCUCAUACUCCUUGGCACCCUCCUUCCUCGGAAUGAAGGGCUGAUUGCUCAGACUUCACCACUACAGUCCCUAUACACAAAUUUCAGCCCAGAGACUGGGAACUGAUGGAGAUGGAAAGAGGAAAAACUCCCUCCCUUGGGGAGGACUUUUCCAAGUCUUGCUGACAUCAGACAUCGCUGGGAGGACAAAGGAGAAAGGCUGGACUCACCACCCUCGGACUAAGAGACCAGUUAAUGUUCCCACUGAGUGGGCUGUGGAUUCAACCAUCCCGGGGACCUCCUGCUGGGGGGGCACAUGAACCUUGAGAAUAUG